rnacentral:lncRNA from 1 species
CAGACACUGGGACUCGGAGAGCUUGGCUAACCCCACAUCACACAGCCGCCGAGCCAGGAUCUGAACCCCAUUUGGUCUGACCCCAAGUCUUCAUUCUUUUCGCUGCACCAACUUGUUGUCCAUGAAAAUCUGAGUGGGUGAGAAGAGCAAAGGCGGCCUGAAUUCUUUUAAGCCCAGAUUCCCAGCCAGGCUUACCAAUGGGAAACAGGAAAUUCCAGGUUCAUCCUUCAGCAGGUGCAUGUUGGGCAUGUGGGGAUACCAGGUUCUGUAAAAACCGAGAUGAAAAAAAAUCCAGCCGCUACUGGAGAGGAACUUAACAGUCUCAGUGGGGGCAUGCAUGUGAAACCGACAGAACCACUGACAUGGGAGGGAAACGGCCAGCGCGGGACCGAGGCUGAGAAGGCACAGAGGAGGGAGGCGACACCCAUGGGGAACGGGCCAUCAGCCGCCCCCAGGAGCAGCAAGGCCGCUCUGUAGAAUUUUCCAGAAAUUGCAACCUGGCUCUCAGGAGGUCUCAGAGUGUUGAGGAGGGUGGCUCAGGCUUGAGUGCAAUUGCAGAAGCAGGCAAUGACUCAUCCUGUGUUUAUCAGAAACUCUACAACACAAAAAUCCACUAAAAUAAAUCCAUAUGGCCAACGCCAGAGCGCCUGACAAUGAGACAGAUUCUUGCCUUUUACGAACAUCCGCAGACAAUUAGCACACCCUCCUGGUCACAUGCUGGGAAAUUUUCCCUUCUUUCCCUUUAUUCCUGCUUUUGCAAUCUGGGAGGAACAACAAAAGGAGUCUCUCUGUGCCUCUGUCCCUCAGAUGGGGGUGCACGGGCUUCCACCAGCAAAACAUUUCCAUGUGGCUCUCGAUGGGCAGGGGACUCAGCGGCCAGCAUGGACCUGCUUUUCUAAAACUUGGGUCUGAGUCCAGGUCCAGCCCCUUCUUUGCUAUGUGGACUUUGAGGAGCAAUUGAAUCUCUGUGUCUUGUUACCAUUCAGCCAGCUGUCCACCAAUUCAGAGCGUGUUCACUGAGCACCUGCUACGUGCUGGCCUUGGGUUAAGUGCUGGAGAUAUCAAUGUGCCCUCCUGGAGCGUGUGGACCAGAGAGACAGAAUUAAACCACUAACAACAAAUAAGAGUGAGGGCUGUGGUCUCAGAGGCCUUGCAGUGGACACAUGGACAGAAAGUCCAGUCCUGGGGAGUCAAUGACACGCAAGAUAAAUCUCUGAGCAGCAAGGACAGUCAAGAUGCAAGCGUCGCUCCUUGGACUCUGAAACCUGUGUCAUUUCCUCCCUGCUUUGCAGUGCUGCCCACACAACAGCUGUUGGGUGCCGGGUAGGUCUACUGAAUUCUCCAUUCCUUUAACUUCAGGCUAACACAUCAUAAUUGGUUAUCAUUUCUUAAAUAUACCUCCCAGGAGCAGUAGUCAAUGCACUUUUAUUGACAGUGUCUGCAGAGCAAGUUCAUGGAAGUUCUAACCCAAGGGUCUCCUGCCCUGCUGGUUCACUCUUCCUCUGCCUAUCCCUUUCUAGCUCUCUUUCUUUCGUGCUGUCCCUGGGCUCUUCUCAUCUUCCUAGGAAGAGCAGCAUCAGGAUCUAACCAGGCCUCCCAUCACGCUGCACCCCUGCCUGAAUUGAGUCUGAAAGUCUGCUUCCACUUCCUCCCUGGGAUUUUUAACCUUUUUUUUUU